CCUACGGGUGGCAGCAGUGAGGAAUAUUGGUCAAUGGGCGCGAGCCUGAACCAGCCAAGCAGCGUGAAGGAUGACUGCCCUGCGGGUUGUAAACUUCUUUUAUAAAGGAAUAAAGUGAGGCACUUGUGCCUUUUUGUAUGUACUUUAUGAAUAAGGAUCGGCUAACUCCGUGCCAGCAGCCGCGGUAAUACGGAGGAUCCGAGCGUUAUCCGGAUUUAUUGGGUUUAAAGGGAGCGUAGAUGGGUUGUUAAGUCAGUUGUGAAAGGUUGCGGCUCAACCGGAGAAUUGCAAUUGAUACUGGCAGGCUUGAGUACAGUUGAGGUAGGCGGAAUUCGUGGUGUAGCGGUGAAAUGCUUAGAUAUCACGAAGAACUCCGAUUGCGAAGGCAGCUUACUAAACUGCCACUGACGUUGAUGCUCGAAAGUGUGGGUAUCAAACAGGAUUAGAUACCCGGGUAGUC
rnacentral:rRNA from 1 species